GUUGGUAGCUCAGUUGGUAGAGCAGCGGACUCUUAAUCCGUUGGUCCAGGGUUCGAGUCCCUGCCGG
rnacentral:tRNA from 1 species